AGGGAGGCGGAUACCCGGGCGGUGCCGAGCGGUGCGCCGUCCGUCACCGGUCCUCCCCAGAGCAUGCGUGCUCUCCGAUGACUGCGGCAAGCGGAGAGAAAUUGCCGCAGACAGAUACGGAGCAGACAGCG